AUUAGUGUAGGUUGAGGUUACGCUCAAGCUGGGAGGCCGAGCUCGUUUUACAGUAGUGUGUAGACUGUUUCGUAUUAUCGUGUGCCAUUGCGAUUGACGGUGGACCCAGAUUUCUGUAUCUUCGCUGUUAGUGCAAGAUGGAUACUCAGAUAUGUGUAGAUUGAGUUUACACUCGUGCUGAGGAGGCGAGUGUGUUGUUACAGUAAGGUUAGACUAUGUUGGAUCGUCAGUUGCCGUCGCGGUUGACGGUGGACCCAGAUUUCUGCAGUUUAUAUCGGAUUGUACCAAAGGCACGUGAGUUUUUGUGGUUAGAUCAGUUUG
rnacentral:lncRNA from 1 species